CCUACGGGAGGCAGCAGUGGGGAAUAUUGGACAAUGGGGGCAACCCUGAUCCAGCCAUGCCGCGUGAGUGAUGACGGCCUUAGGGUUGUAAAGCUCUUUUCUCCGGGACGAUAAUGACGGUACCGGAGGAAUAAGCCCCGGCUAACUUCGUGCCAGCAGCCGCGGUAAUACGAAGGGGGCUAGCGUUGCUCGGAAUCACUGGGCGUAAAGGGCGCGUAGGCGGCUGACUUAGUCGAGGGUGAAAGCCCGUGGCUCAACCACGGAAUGGCCUUCGAUACUGGUUGGCUUGAGACCGGAAGAGGACAGCGGAACUGCGAGUGUGGAGGUGAAAUUCGUAGAUAUUCGCAAGAACACCAGUGGCGAAGGCGGCUGUCUGGUCCGGUUCUGACGCUGAGGCGCGAAAGCGUGGGGAGCAAACAGGAUUAGAUACCCUGGUAGUCCACGCUGUAAACGAUGAAUGCUAGCCGUUGGUCUGCAUGCAGGUCAGUGGCGCCGCUAACGCAUUAAGCAUUCCGCCUGGGGAGUACGGUCGCAAGAUUAAAACUCAAAGUAGUUAGUUAGCGNGNGAGNGCGACGACGACGACGAGGAGGAGG
rnacentral:rRNA from 1 species